UACGUAGGGGGCAAGCGUUGUCCGGAAUCAUUGGGCGUAAAGGGCGCGUAGGCGGCGGGGUAAGUCGGGUGUGAAAUCUCAGGGCUCAACCCUGAAACUGCACUCGAUACUGCUCUGCUUGAGGACUGGAGAGGAGACUGGAAUUCACGGUGUAGCAGUGAAAUGCGUAGAUAUCGUGAGGAAGACCAGUGGCGAAGGCGGGUCUCUGGACAGUUCCUGACGCUGAGGCGCGAAGGCCAGGGGAGCAAACGGG
rnacentral:rRNA from 1 species